rnacentral:rRNA from 1 species
GGAUGAACGCUGGCGGCGUGCCUAAUACAUGCAAGUCGAACGCUUUGUGGUUCAACUGAUUUGAAGAGCUUGCUCAGAUAUGACGAUGGACAUUGCAAAGAGUGGCGAACGGGUGAGUAACACGUGGGAAACCUACCUCUUAGCAGGGGAUAACAUUUGGAAACAGAUGCUAAUACCGUAUAACAAUGACAACCGCAUGGUUGUUAUUUAAAAGAUGGUUCUGCUAUCACUAAGAGAUGGUCCCGCGGUGCAUUAGCUAGUUGGUAAGGUAAUGGCUUACCAAGGCGAUGAUGCAUAGCCGAGUUGAGAGACUGAUCGGCCACAAUGGGACUGAGACACGGCCCAUACUCCUACGGGAGGCAGCAGUAGGGAAUCUUCCACAAUGGGCGAAAGCCUGAUGGAGCAACGCCGCGUGUGUGAUGAAGGGUUUCGGCUCGUAAAACACUGUUGUAAGAGAAGAAUGACAUUGAGAGUAACUGUUCAAUGUGUGACGGUAUCUUACCAGAAAGGAACGGCUAAAUACGUGCCAGCAGCCGCGGUAAUACGUAUGUUCCAAGCGUUAUCCGGAUUUAUUGGGCGUAAAGCGAGCGCAGACGGUUAUUUAAGUCUGAAGUGAAAGCCCUCAGCUCAACUGAGGAAUUGCUUUGGAAACUGGAUGA